CACAAGCGGUGGAUGAUGUGGUUUAAUUCGAUGCAACGCGAAAACCUUACCUACCCUUGACAUGUCCGGAAUCCCGAAGAGAUUUGGGAGUGCUCGCAAGAGAGCCGGAACACAGGUGCUGCAUGGCUGUCGUCAGCUCGUGUCGUGAGAUGUUGGGUUAAGUCCCGCAACGAGCGCAACCCUUGUCAUUAGUUGCCAUCAUUUGGUUGGGCACUCUAAUGAGACUGCCGGUGACAAACCGGAGGGAAGGUGGGGAUGACGUCAAGUCCUCAUGGCCCUUAUGGGUAGGGCUUCACACGUCAUACAAUGGUCGGUACAGAGGGUUGCCAACCCGCGAGGGGGAGCUAAUCCCACAAAGCCGAUCGUAGUCCGAAUCGCAGUCUGCAACUCGACUGCGUGAAGUCGGAAUCGCUAGUAAUCGUGGAUCAGCAUGUCACGGUGAAUACGUUCCCGGGUCUU
rnacentral:rRNA from 1 species